rnacentral:rRNA from 1 species
UACGGGGGAGGCAAGCGUGUUCGGAUUUACUGGGCGUAAAGGCGUGCGCAGGCGGUUUUGUAAGGUUCUGUCGUGAAAUCCCCGGGCCUCAACCUGGGAAUUGCGAUGGAGACUGCAAGGCUAGAAUCUGGCAGAGGGGGUAGAAUUCCACGUGUAGCAGUGAAAUGCGUAGAGAUGUGGAGGAACACCGAUGGCGAAGGCAAUCCCCUGGGCCUGCACUGACGCUCAUGCACGAAAGCGUGGGGAGCAAACAGG